AACGAACGCUGGCGGCAUGCCUAACACAUGCAAGUCGAACGAGACCUUCGGGUCUAGUGGCGCACGGGUGCGUAACGCGUGGGAACCUGCCCUUAGGUUCGGAAUAACUCCCCGAAAGGGGUGCUAAUACCGGAUAAUGUCUUCGGACCAAAGAUUUAUCGCCUUUGGAUGGGCCCGCGUUGGAUUAGCUAGUUGGUAGGGUAAAAGCCUACCAAGGCGACGAUCCAUAGCUGGUCUGAGAGGAUGAUCAGCCACACUGGGACUGAGACACGGCCCAGACUCCUACGGGAGGCAGCAGUGGGGAAUAUUGGACAAUGGGCGAAAGCCUGAUAUAGCAAUGCCGCGUGAGUGAUGAAGGCCUUAGGGUUGUAAAGCUCUUUUACCCGGGAUGAUAAUGACAGUACCGGGAGAAUAAGCUCCGGCUAACUCCGUG
rnacentral:rRNA from 1 species